UACGUAGGUGGCAAGCGUUGUCCGGAUUUACUGGGCGUAAAGAGCGCGCAGGCGGUCGUGCAAGUCGCGUGUGAAAGCCCCCGGCUCAACUGGGGAGGGUCACGCGAUACUGCUCGACUCGAAGGCAGGAGAGGGAAGUGGAAUUCCCGGUGUAGUGGUGAAAUGCGUAGAUAUCGGGAGGAACACCUAUGGCGAAGGCAGCUCGCUGGGACGUUACUGACGCUGAGACGCGAAAGCGUGGGGAGCAAACAGG
rnacentral:rRNA from 1 species